rnacentral:rRNA from 1 species
CUCCUACGGGAGGCAGCAGUGGGGAAUUUUGGACAAUGGGGGCAACCCUGAUCCAGCCAUUCCGCGUGAGUGAAGAAGGCCUUCGGGUUGUAAAGCUCUUUCGGCAGGAACGAAACGGCGAGCUCUAACAUAGCUCGCUAAUGACGGUACCUGAAGAAGAAGCACCGGCUAACUACGUGCCAGCAGCCGCGGUAAUACGUAGGGUGCGAGCGUUAAUCGGAAUUACUGGGCGUAAAGCGUGCGCAGGCGGUUGUGUAAGACAGGUGUGAAAUCCCCGGGCUUAACCUGGGAACUGCGCUUGUGACUGCACGGCUAGAGUAUGGCAGAGGGGGGUGGAAUUCCACGUGUAGCAGUGAAAUGCGUAGAGAUGUGGAGGAACACCGAUGGCGAAGGCAGCCCCCUGGGCCAAUACUGACGCUCAUGCACGAAAGCGUGGGGAGCAAACAGGAUUAGAUACCCUGGUAGUCCACGCCCUAAACGAUGUCGACUAGGUGUUCGGUGAGGAGACUCAUUGAGUACCGCAGCUAACGCGUGAAGUCGACCGCCUGGGGAGUACGGUCGCAAGAUUAAAACUCAAAGGAAUUGACGG